AUUGAACGCUGGCGGCAUGCCUUACACAUGCCAGUCGAACGGUAACGGGCCUUCGGGUGCCGACGAGUGGCGAACGGGUGCGUAAUACAUCGGAACGUGCCCGAUCGUGGGGGAUAACGGGGCGAAAGCUUUGCUAAUAUCGCCUACGAUCUCCGGAUGAAAGCAGGGGACCGCAAGGCCUUGCGCGGACGGAGCGGCCGAUGGCAGAUUAGGUAGUUGGUGGGAUAAAAGCUUACCAAGCCGACGAUCUGUAGCUGGUCUGAGAGGAUGAUCAGCCACACUGGGACUGAGACACGGCCCAGACUCCUACGGGAGGCAGCAGUGGGGAAUUUUGGACAAUGGGCGCAAGCCUGAUCCAGCCAUGCCGCGUGCAGGAUGAAGGCCUUCGGGUUGUAAACUGCUUUUGUACGGAACGAAAAGCCUUCUUUUAAUACAGGAGGGUCAUGACGGUACCGUAAGAAUAAGCACCGGCUAACUACGUG
rnacentral:rRNA from 1 species